rnacentral:rRNA from 1 species
GACAGAGGCCCCAAGCGUUAGGCGGAAUCACUGGGCUUAAAGCGUGUGUAGGCGGAUCGUUAAGUGUCUUGUGAAAUCCCACGGCUCACCCGUGGAACUGCUGGGCAUACUGGCGAUCUUGGGCCAACUAGGGGCAGCCGGAACAAGCGGUGGAGCGGUGAAAUGCGUAGAUAUCAUUUGGAACGCCAAUGGUGAAAACAGGUUGCUGGGGCUGUGCUGACGCUGAGACACGAAAGCCAGGGGAGCGAACGGG